rnacentral:rRNA from 1 species
CCUACGGGUGGCUGCAGUGAGGAAUAUUGGUCAAUGGGCGCAAGCCUGAACCAGCGACGUAGCGUGAAGGAUGACUGACCUACGGGUUGUAAACUUCUUUUAUAGAGGAAUAAAGUGCGGCACGUGUGCCUUUUUGUCUGUACUUUAUGAAUACGGAUCGGCAAACUCCGUGCCAGCAGCCGCGGUAAUACGGAGGAUCCGAGCGUUAUCCGGAUUUAUGGGGUUAAAGGGGAGCGUAGAUGGGUGGUUAAGUCAGUUGUGAAAGUUUGCGGCUCAACCGGAAAAUUGCAAUUAAUACUGGCAGCCUGGAGUACAGUGGAGGUAGGCGGAAUUCGUGUGGUAGCGGGGAAAUGCUGAGAU